CAGUCCCAUGCUGAUGGCUCGCUUGCAACUGACCAAACCACUGUCAAUGUGGAUGAUGAUAGUGAUGACAGCGAGGAAGUGAGGGAACUUGAGGCCAAUCUAAUUCCAGUUGACAGUGAUGAAGCUGACUCUGACACUAUUAAUCGUCAUAGUCCUAAAGUUGACUUGGAAGGCAAUUCUUUAAACAAGAAGCGCAAGCACGUGUCAUCUUCACCUUCCAAGAAGCCAACUAAGGGGAAAGCAAACAAGAAGGGCAAGAUAUCUAAUGAUGAUAUGGCAGCCAGUAUCAAGAAGCUAGCUGACUCUCUUGCAUCUCCUAUUGUUUCUGUGCAACCAAUGCCACCUACAGAUCCAUAUGCAAACCUUUGGAAGCGGAUAAAUGCCCUUACCAUACCAGCUAAGGAUAAACUUGAGAUUGUAGCAUAUCUAUCCAAGCCAGAUCAAGAUAUCUUUCGUAGUUACCUCAACUAUGCUGAUGAAACAAUUCUUGGACAGUGGGUCCUUAGCUUCUUCGAGCCUCGGUUUCAAGAAGAUGGUGGCAAUGGUGGAUCUGCAACUGCUCACUGA
rnacentral:rRNA from 1 species